rnacentral:ncRNA from 2 species
CACUUAUCAAGAGAGGUGGAGGGACCGGCCCUGUGAAGCCCAGCAACCUGUAUAUGUUAAUUAUACAAGGUGCUAAUUCCUGCAGCGCUAGCUGAGAGAUGAGAA